rnacentral:rRNA from 1 species
GAUGAACGCUGGCGGCGUGCUUAACACAUGCAAGUCGAACGGGAAGUCGUUUCUUUUGUGGCGGGCUGGAGUGUCAAACGUGUGAGUAACACGUGAGUAGGCUACCCUUGACUUUGGGAGAACUUCAGUAACCCGUGGGUUAUGGCGGGUAGGGGCGCCUCCUCCAUGGGGUGGGUUGGAAAGUUUCGGCGGUGGGGGAUGGGCGCGAGGCUUAUGAGCUUGUUGGUGGGGGAGUGUCUGACCAAGGCUUUGGCGGGUAGCAGGCCUGAGCGGGUGACGGGCCACAUUGGGACGGCGGUGAGGCCGAGCCUCCUCCGGGAGGCAGCAGUGGGGAAUAUUGCACAAUGAGCGGAGGCAUGAUGCAGCAACGCCGCGUGCGGGAUGAAGGCCUUCGAGUGGUCAACCGCUUUCGCUUGUGACGAAGAGUGAGUGACGGUAAUGGGUAAAGAAGCACCGGCUAACUACGUG